GACGAACGCUGGCGGCGUGCUUAACACAUGCAAGUCGAACGAAGAGCGAUGGAAGCUUGCUUCUAUCAAUCUUAGUGGCGAACGGGUGAGUAACGCGUAAUCAACCUGCCCUUCAGAGGGGGACAACAGUUGGAAACGACUGCUAAUACCGCAUACGAUCUAAUCUCGGCAUCGAGGAUAGAUGAAAGGUGGCCUCUACAUGUAAGCUAUCACUGAAGGAGGGGAUUGCGUCUGAUUAGCUAGUUGGAGGGGUAACGGCCCACCAAGGCGAUGAUCAGUAGCCGGUCUGAGAGGAUGAACGGCCACAUUGGGACUGAGACACGGCCCAGACUCCUACGGGAGGCAGCAGUGGGGAAUCUUCCGCAAUGGAUGAAAGUCUGACGGAGCAACGCCGCGUGAGUGAUGACGGCCUUCGGGUUGUAAAGCUCUGUUAAUCGGGACGAAAGGCCUUCUUGCGAACAGUUAGAAGGAUUGACGGUACCGGAAUAGAAAGCCACGGCUAACUACGUG
rnacentral:rRNA from 1 species